GUAUGAAAAAUAGUUAUAAGUCACUUUUUUCAGUGUUGUAACUUUGAAUGGUCACUAAAUAAACUGAGGACUACCUGUAAUUUUCUAAAUUAUUCUUAUGACAAAUUACUAAAGCCAGCAAAGAAGCCCCCCCCUCCCCCCAAAAAAAAACAAAAAACAAAAAAAAGUCCUGGCAGCAUGGCAGCACCUGGCUGACCUUGAUUUGGAUUAGAAGCUAAACCGAAUUGAGCCAGGUUAGUAUUUGGAUCAGAGACCGUAAAAGUACUUGCAGCAUAAGCUAAACUGGGAAGCUGAAAAGUAACCUGAAGAAGUCAAUAACAAGCAACUUUUAUUCUAUUGUCAAGGAAGCUUCUUGGACACGUCCAUGAAAUCACUAGAAGUUAAGUUUGUGUUGAAAAAUACAUUUGUAGUCACCCUUCAGAGAUGUGAAUGAUCUAAUCAUAUCUAUUUGAUAUAGGUCAUGAAUCCAAUUCAGGAAAAAAAGUGGCUUUGUGAAUAUUCAAGCAUGGCUUAAAUCACUGAAUUGUUUCAAAAGCAUCCUAUUCAGUUUUGCAUGUCAAAUUGAUUCUAAAAUGAGAAUUGACAAUUUGAUUUAAGGGGA